AACCACUGAUCUAGAUGGAGAGACAGAUAGGUGAAAAAAAAAAACCCACUAUGAUGCAGAGGAUGAUAUGCUCUGAUUUUGGCAAAUGCAAGUGGCCACGGCCGCACGAAGUUAGGGCUGCUCUCCCAGCCCGGAAAGAGCUGUGAAGUAGGACACAUCACAGCGGAGGUUUCUGGAGCAGGAAUUAACUGGGGUAAUCUGGCCUGACGGGGCCCAAGGGUAAGGGGCGUGAGGUUAAGAUGAUUUCCAGAGAAAGCAAGAUGAACGUUCUGAGUCCAGGAGUGAGAGGAAGCCAGGCUCUUGCUUGGGACUGGAAGUAGUUUGGGAUGACAGGAGAAAGCUGGCGGGGAAGCUGGUGAGAGCUGGAGAGGAGAGCAGAGGCCAACUCGUGUGGAUAUUAAAGGAGCAUUAGAAACUUCGGGCCUUCCUCUAAUGGUGGAAGGGAGCUGAUGAAGAGGCAUCAUCAGAGGAAGGACUGCCAUCAGUUUUGCAGUGUAAGAAACAGGAAGGGAGCCAGACGGCAGGAAGUGAGAACGUGCUUCAGUGGCGGGUUCCAGCACUACGUUAGUGGCUAUGGGGAUAGAAGAGUCUGUUGACACCAACUUCAAAGACCACCAUUGAGGGCUGGGCGUGGUGGCUCGUGACUGUAGUCUCAGCAGUUUUGGAGGCCGAAGCGGGCAGAUCACUUGAGGUCAGGAGUUUGAGACCAGCUUGGCCAACAUGGUGAAACCCCAUUUUUCGUCUCUACUAAAAAUGCAAAAAUGAGCCAGGCAUGGCGGCAGGCGCCUGUAAUCCCAGCUACUCAGAGGGCUGAGGCAGAAGAAUCGCUUGAACCUGGCGGGUGGAGGUUGCAGUGAGCCGAGAUGAUGCCAACUGCACCCCAGCCUGGGUGACGGAGUAGGACUCCGUCUCAGAAGAAAAAGGAGACCACCACUGAGGCCAGCUUCGAAGACCGCUGCCCUCUUUCCUGUUUCAUCGCCCGUCCCUGCAUUGCUUGUGACCCCUCCUUUCGGUUUCUCGUCUUUCCAUCUCCUCCUCCGUGCCUCUGCCAUCUACUCUUCUUGCCUUUUUCGGGGGCUUCUUUUCUGCCUUACCUGCCACCUUUAUUUCACAAAUAUAGCACAAAUUAUUCUGUGAGGAUGUCAGAGUUAGAGCCUAUGACCUACUUUAAAUCUUGAUUAUGAGGGUUGUUUAGUGUUUAAUAUGACAGCAUAAGGAAGAUGCUUUGUAAAUAGUAAAUCAAAUAAAUUUUAGGUAAUGAUAAUGGCAACUGGCUUAGAAGAUUCCUGCUUGUUUAAAAAAUUAGGUGUAAAUGACACCUAGAGACAAAGGUUGAAAAAUAAUGAGAUUAUAUCUCUCAACACUCCUGGAAUUCCCUAUCUACUGAGUUGAGCUUUCAUAAUUCAGAUUCUACACUGAGCUGAAGUACUGAAAGAUUUAUGUAAAAUUUCAUUUGCCUCCUGUGCUUCUUUUGUCAUUCAUAAAAAAAUAAAUUGCCUUGCAGACCAGGCAAA